UGUUUUCCGCGUUGGACCGCACACAAGUCUGUUGGAAUACAGCGGCAUAGUGGUGAUACCCCAUUACACGGUGCGGACGCCCAGCGCUUUGUGAUACACUUUCGACGAGUCGAGUUGUUUGGGAAUGCAGCUCAAAUUGGGUGGUAAAUUCCAUCUAAAGCUAAAUAUUGGCGAGAGACCGAUAGCGAACAAGUACCGUGAGGGAAAGAUGAAAAGCACUUUGGAAAGAGAGUUAAAAGUACGUGAAAUUGUUGGAAGGGAAACGCUUGAAGUCAGACUUGCUUGCCGGGCUUGCUCGGUUUGCAGGCCA
rnacentral:rRNA from 1 species